GAAGAAACAGAAGAAGAAGAAGAAGAAGACAUAUUUCAGAACACUCUACACACAGGCGGAUGUUCUACCUUCUGUCCUCCACCCUGAGAGGAGAAACCAGAACCGGACCCGGACCCGGACUCUCCCUUCGGUCCUGCGGGGCCUCUGUCCCCGCUGGAGCCUUUCUCUCCCUUGUCUCCUUUCUCACCUUUAGAACCACCUGGACCUGAGGAACCGGUCACCCAAUCAUUAAUCAGCAGUUGUUUAGGAGAAGCAUCCAGAUCUGUCUUGUUUAAUCAGCAUGUGGGGGAGGAGAUGACGACUGGAUUUAACUCCAAAAGCAACUAAAAUAAAACUUCUGACUUAUUUCUCUGACACGGCUUAAAGAACAACUCGUGUUUGGAUCAUCCGCCCUCCACCAACAUGCUCACAGCACCACCCAGCAGCUCAUUCUACGCUGUGAUAGGAUGGCUGCGUUCUGCCAGGCGUGACCCGAUGCUUCUGCCACCAG